rnacentral:sRNA from 1 species
UCAGUUGACCGGAAGUUAUGAUGUGAUAGGAAAAGUAGUAGUUUGUGUGUCGGUGUGUGCGAUAGUGGUUCCUGAGGCCAUAUUGGUAUCCUGUCCUCAUUCUGGAUGCAGUGCAUCAUGGACCUGACCUGGUAUGUUCCACACUUAGGAGGUAGUUUAUGAUGUGAUAGGAAAAAUAGUAGUUUGUGUGUCGGUGUGUGCGAUAGUGGUUCCUGAGGCCAUAUUGGUAUCCUGUCCUCAUUCUGGAUGCAGUGCAUCAUGGACCUGACCUGGUAUGUUCCACACUUAGGAGUUGACCGGAAGUUAUGAUGUGAAAGGAAAAAUAGUAGUUUGUGUGUCGGUGUGUGCGAUAGUGGUUCCUGAGGCCAUAUUGGUAUCCUGUCCUCAUUCUGGAUGCAGUGCAUCAUGGACCUGACCUGGUAUGUUCCACACUUAGGAGGUAGUUUAUGAUGUGAUAGGAAAAAUAGUAGUUUGUGUGUCGGUGUGUGCGAUAGUGGUUCCUGAGGCCAUAUUGGUAUCCUGUCCUCAUUCUGGA